UACAGAGGGGGCAAGCGUUAUUCGGAAUUAUUGGGCGUAAAGGGCGCGUAGGCGGCGAUUCAAGUGACGGGUGAAAUCCCUCGGCUUAACCGAGGAACUGCCUGUCAGAUUGGAUUGCUUGAGUCCGGGAGAGGCGAGUGGAAUUCCCAGUGUAGCGGUGAAAUGCGUAGAUAUUGGGAGGAACACCAGUGGCGAAGGCGGCUCGCUGGACCGGAACUGACGCUGAGGCGCGAAAGCGUGGGGAGCAAACAGG
rnacentral:rRNA from 1 species